UGGUCCCUUUCUGCCUUAAGGGUGAUGGAA
rnacentral:piRNA from 1 species